AUGAUAGUCACAGAGAGAGAGAGAAGGGCAGAGACACAGGCAGAGGGAGAAGCAGGCUCCAUGCACCGGGAGCCCGAUGUGGGAUUCGAUCCCGGGUCUCCAGGAUCACACCCUGGGCCAAAGGCAGGCGCCAAACCGCUGCACCACCCAGGGAUCCCCAGGAUACAGAUUUUUAAACCAGAAAGGAAAGAAAGGAGUCAUAAGUCUGAGUGUGGCUCUGGAAAUAUUUUCUGGGCUGUCAAUCAAACCACUCCCACCUACACAUGUCCCAUUUCUCAUUGUGCAUUAACUCAGCAGCUUGCUGCCACACCCAGGCCUGUGCUGGUCAUGGGGCAGGAAGGGAGGGAGCUUCUGAUACUCCUGAGGACGGGGGGAUAUGAUCCCACCAAUAUCUGCUGGUCCCCCAACGCUCUCUAUACACACUGGUCAGGUUUUGCAGUAUUAAUAGGUCAGUUCACAAGGGUUUAAAUAAGUAAGCUGGUGUCCACCUUACCACAAUACAUGACAUUGUUUCCAUGAGAGUAUAUUCCAGGUUCCAAACAACUAACUUAUUAACAAUUCUUGGUACCUAACAUACACAUAAAUUGAGAACUAUGAUUCCUCCAGGAAGAGCUGCUCUCAAAGGUCCUGUUGCCAAUGGCCACCUCUUGCAUGGCCCUCAGCAGGGUCCUGUGAUAGAAACCCAGAGCCUAGAAAGAAGAUCCAUAACUGCAUUACAACAGAAUCAAUGAGUGCUCACUGACCUUUCAGCUCUCUGAGACUAGUAGACAUAAGGGCUCAUUUACUCUGUGCUAAUCAUCACCUCACCAGAGAUACUUAAUGCAACGAUGAAACCACAUGACCCCAUUGGGGCUGUUGUCUCAGGAGGCUUUGUGCAUUGACUGGCAAAGCCAUCCUGAAGUCAGCACCCAUAACUAGGAGCAGAAGAAGCCUAGUUUGAGCUAAACCAUGCUAUAGGUUUCCAAUCAUUCUUGCAGAGUUGCAAUAUUUACCUUCAAUUAUUUGAUAUCUGAAACCACCCUUCUACCUCCUUUGAGUGGCUCUUGCAAGACCACUCAUCCAUAUAAAAACAAAGACAUUUUUAUUUUUUUCUCCAAAGGAGGUAAAUACGGAAAUGAGGUGGAUAGCAGUGUGAAAGUGAAAAAAUAGGUGAAAAGAGAUCUGUGCAGUGGAGUUCUCUGCCCACCACAAGUAUUUGGCAUGGCCUGGUAAACCAAUCACUUAAAUUUUCUCAGUGACUGUCAGUCACUGAGACCAGUAUUGCCUGGUCAAUACUUAAGAUCUUAAUUUCCUUAAAUGUCUGAUAAUGAAUAAACCUAUACUGACCUAUCA
rnacentral:lncRNA from 12 species